UUGUAGGCAGGAGUAUCUUGCUGUUCAACUUAUUUCACAUGUUUAUAGUACAUGCCUUUAUUGUUGUAACUUUUAUUGAUUCUUUUUUUCUGUUUAUACGAAAUUAGUAUGCUGUUUAUGUGAGGGUGAGGUUGAAUCCCAUAUCAUGAUUAAUUCUUGGUUAUUCUGUGAUGUUGGCCUUGUUUAAAAUGAGUCUAUUGAAGGAUAUAAUUGUUGGUGUUUUAUUCCAGAUAUAUUUCAAGAAGCUGGUCUUCCUCUUGGUUGCGUCCUUAUGAAGUUUAAGUCACAUCAUCUUACACAACAUUCAUUGAAACAAUUCUUGAUACGGCCUCAUUUCAUUCUAUCAAAAGUGGAUAUCCCAACAUCACAAGUUUGCAUGACUUCUUUGUUGCCAAGUACCAAGAAAAUUCUUUAAGUUUUAAGCUUGUCCAGGUAUGAAAUACUCAUCUGGUUCCUGUCCCAUGUUAGAUGAAAACUUGGUUGAGGUUGAGACCACAUGCCCCACACUUAAUACGAAUGAGAGUGAAACUUGUGCUACUAGCCCGGACAAUGAAAAUGAUGCUAAUCCAUUUCAAAGAAAGAAAAUAACUAAGACAUCUCCGAUCUUGACAAAAUUUACAAGGGUGGUUCUACCCGAUAGUACAAAAAGGCAGAAUGCAACCAUUGUAA